rnacentral:siRNA from 1 species
UAUCCACCUAAGUGUCACAUCAUC